GUGGGGAAUAUUGGACAAUGGGCGAAAGCCUGAUCCAGCCAUGCCGCGUGUGUGAAGAAGGUCUUCGGAUUGUAAAGCACUUUAAGUUGGGAGGAAGGGCAGUAAGUUAAUACCUUGCUGUUUUGACGUUACCGACAGAAUAAGCACCGGCUAACUUCGUGCCAGCAGCCGCGGUAAUACGAAGGGUGCAAGCGUUAAUCGGAAUUACUGGGCGUAAAGCGCGCGUAGGUGGUUUUGUAAGUUGGAGGUGAAAUCCCCGGUCUCAACCUGGGAACUGCCUCCAAAACUGCAUGACUAGAGUACGGUAGAGGGUAGUGGAAUUUCCUGUGUAGCGGUGAAAGGCGUAGAUAUAGGAAGGAACACCAGUGGCGAAGGCGACUACCUGGACUGAUACUGACACUGAGGUGCGAAAGCGUGGGGAGCAAACAGGAUUAGAAACCCUUGUAGUCC
rnacentral:rRNA from 1 species